rnacentral:rRNA from 1 species
AUUGAACGCUAGCGGCAGGCUUAAUACAUGCAAGUCGAGGGGCAGCAGGGGUGUAGCAAUACACUCGCUGGCGACCGGCAAACGGGUGCGGAACACGUACGCAACCUACCCAAAACUGGGGAAUAGCCCGGGGAAACCCGGAUUAAUACCUCGUAACAUAAUGAAGUGGCAUCACUUUAUUAUUAUAGCCCCGGCGGUUUUGGAUGGGCGUGCGCCUGAUUAGGUAGUUGGCGGGGUAACGGCCCACCAAGCCUUCGAUCAGUAACUGGUGUGAGAGCACGACCAGUCACACGGGCACUGAGACACGGGCCCGACUCCUACGGGAGGCAGCAGUAAGGAAUAUUGGUCAAUGGACGCAAGUCUGAACCAGCCAUGCCGCGUGAAGGAUGAAGGUCCUCUGGAUUGUAAACUUCUUUUAUAGGGGAAGAAACCUCUUGAUUCUUCGAGAGUUGACGGUACCCUAGGAAUAAGCACCGGCUAACUCCGUGCCAGCAGCCGCAGUAA